CUCGUAGGCGGUUCAGUAAGUCGGGUGUGAAAGCUCCGAGCUCAACUCGGAGAGGCCACCCGAUACUGCUGUGACUUGAGUCCAGUAGAGGAGCGUGGAACUCCUGGUGUAGCGGUGAAAUGCGCAGAUAUCAGGAAGAACACCGGUGGCGAAGGCGGGUCUCUGGGUAGUAACUGACGCUGAGGAGCGAAAGCGUGGGUAGCGAACA
rnacentral:rRNA from 1 species